UAAGGGGACACUUUUGGUGUCCACCAGACAUGAAUUUUGAAGCAUGAGCUAUUUAGCAUCUCAGGCUCAGGGUGCUUGUUUCUUUUGUCAAGCCUACGUGCUACAAGACCAAUUCAGCCGAUUGAUCUUUUAUUGAUGGGGCCAUCGAGCCAGCUGUCUCCAGCGACAUGCUGAGUGAACGAGUGACCAGAGCUAUUAACUCCACCAUCAGCCCUUUUUGUUUUAUCAUGUAAUGAGGGAUUCACAUGUGAAGGCCUGGGUGUAAGUGUGAUCAUCAAAGAUGUGUUAAAAGUUCUGAAAGGCCAUUUCGGAGAUCAGUUAUAAGGGUGUUCUGUGAGAGUUUACAAUGAAUGCCUUCUUUAAAGAUAGAAAAAAUCGGAUACCAUGACAUACAGAAAACACUGAUAUUGGGUUGGCUAAGAAGAAAUAUUCUUUAAGUAGUUAUUUUGGACACACACACAAAAAAAGACAGAACAAAAUGUAAUCUUAAUCAAAGCUUCAGUAGACCAGAAAAAUGUAGCCUCUGUGUGUGUGUGUGUGUGUGUGUGUGGGUGGGUGUGUGAGAGAGACAGUGUGAUAAAGUGUUAAACCUUUGGUCUGGCAUUAUCUCGAAAAAAAAAAAAGUUUCUGGAUGGGAGUCUCCAGUGUCAGCACUUUGUGUCAGUCAGUAAAUUUUCAGAAAUAGGAAAUGUCUUCACGGUGGAGGUUUCUUGGUAACUUGACAAUCUGUCUUAACUUCAAGAGGGGAAAAAAGGAGAUGCUGGUAUUUCCCUUUUAUCCCCAGAGUUCCCUGGAUAGGCUCUGGAUUUACUCCGACCCUGAUCAAGAUAAAACACUUAGCAACACAUACAGCUGUAUAAUCUCAAUAGUUUCCACCUAAACUACAAUAAACAGCCAAAAGUAUGCGGACACCUGACCAUCACACAUAAAUAUGGUUCUUCCCCAGACUGUUGCCACAAAGUUGGAAGCACACAAUCGUAUAAAAAGUUUUUGAAUGCUGUAGCAUUACAAUUUCCCUUCCCUGGAACUAAGAGGCCCAAACCUGUUCCAGCAUGACAAUGUGCACAAAGCAAGCUCUGUGAAGACUGGGUUUGCCAAGUUUGCCCUGACCUCAACCCUACUGAACACCUUUGGGAUGAAUUGGAAUGCAGACUGCUCACCAGACAUCACCUCCACACCCAACAUCAGUGCCUGACCUCACUAAUGCUAUUAUGGCUGAAUGAACACAAAGACACCGGAGAUGCCUUACAUAAAUGCUAAUAAAUAAAUAAAUAAAUAAAUAAAUACACACAGCAUCAACAACCUUAAUUUGUUUGAUUUAUUUUUAGUUUCUUUGCUAAUAGGUGUUACAAAUGUGUAUCAGUUUUAGGGUAGCAGUAGAAGGGCUAUUGAGAACAAUGGACCUGUAGUACAUUUUACUUUUGCAGUGACAAAUAUAAUGUAAUGUUUCCGUUCACUUUUAAAGUUUUCAUUUGACUCACCCUUGUAUGUUCUUUUUUUUUUUGUUAAAUAACAGCAAAUUGUCCUUUUAACUGUAGAUGUCCCUGUGAAUUUGCUAUUAGUGUAGUAAACAUGACAUCAAAUGAGCACAUUAAUACAAUAUGAUUUGUCUUGCAGAUUGCCAGCUGCCGACUGAGCUGCUGUUAUAUAAGUAAUAACACACGACAGAUCUUGCAGUUAGGCAAAGAUUACAAUGUGUAAUUUCUUAAUGCACAAUAUGUCAUGCAUUUUAAUGGUAUAUAGUUAUAUUUAAGGUUGUAGAACAUCCGAGAGACAACUGCGAUAAACAGUCAUUCCCUCACCAGUCUGUCUGUCUGUCUGUCUCUGUGUGUGUGUGGGUGGAUAUGUGUCACACAAUUGAUCAUACCUCAACAGCGAUUUAGUUGCAGUUUAUGCUCAUUUGACAAAUCUUAAAUAAAUCAUAGUAGAUGCAUAUAUAUAUAUAUAUAUAUAUAUAUAUAUAUAUAUAUAUAUA
ensembl:lncRNA